UCAUUGUAUCGCCAAAUACUGAGAAGCCUUAACUCUCCAAAGUUACCACUUAAUUUAGCUGCAAGAAUGGCUAAGAAGGCAGAGAAUACUCUCUUUCCCUUUUAAGAAAAGGUGAAAUCCCUAAGCACAUUCAAUGAGCCAACUGAUUUACUUCUCAGAAUAGUGUUUUCAAAUCUUUCUCUCCUUUUUCUAUUUGAGUUCAUUCCUGAAGUGUCAGUUGUAAUGGAUAUUAUUCUUUUGGUACUGGACCUAAAAUGGAGUGGUGGUCUUUUAUCUUUCAUAGAAUAUUAUUCACUAUGAGGUGAAUUUGUUCAAAAGGUUGCAUGUAGUGAGUUGCCAAUGUGGGCCAUCUGUUAAUGUCAUUUAGUUUCUUUGGAUUAC